GUAAGUAUAGUUUAAGAAAAACAUUAGAUUGUGAAUCUGACAAUAGAAAAUGAACCUUCUUACUUACC
rnacentral:tRNA from 1 species